GACGUUUAGCGACAGAAGAAGCACCGGCUAACUCCGUGCCAGCAGCCGCGGUAAUACGGAGGGUGCGAGCGUUAAUCGGAAUUACUGGGCGUAAAGCGCAUGCAGGUGGUUUGUUAAGUCAGAUGUGAAAGCCCGGGGCUCAACCUCGGAAUUGCAUUUGAAACUGGCAGACUAGAGUACUGUAGAGGGGGUAGAAUUUCAGGUGUAGCGGUGAAAAUGCGUAGAGAUCUGAAGGAAUACCGGUGGCGAAGGCGGCCCCCUGGACAGAUACUGACACUCAGAUGCGAAAGCGUGGGGAGCAAACAGGAUUAGAUACCCUGGUAG
rnacentral:rRNA from 1 species